UUUAUUGAGGAUUUGAUCCUGGUCCAGGAUGAACGCUGGCGGCGUGGAUAAGGCAUGCAAGUCGUACGGUUCUUUUGGCCAAUGUGGUAGCAAUACUAUUGAGGGCAUUAGAAUAGUGGCAAACGAGUUAGUAACACCUUAGUACGUACCCCGAAGACGGGAAUAAUCUCGCGAAAGCGGGACUAAUACCCGAUAAUGAAGUAAUUCUAAAUCCCGCAAGGGGCUUCGGGAUCGGCUUAGGUCCGAUCAGCUAGUUGGUGAGGUAAUGGCUCACCAAGGCUAUGACCGGUAGGGGGGCUGAGAGGCUGAUCCCCAACGACGGAACUGAGACACGGUCCGUACACCUACGGGUGGCAGCAGUCGAGAAUAUUCGACAAUGGGCGAAAGCCUGAUCGAGCGACGCCGCGUGCAGGAAGACGAGCUUCGGCUUGUAAACUGCUUUUCUAUAGGAUGAAGCCGCAAGGUUGACAGUACUAUAGGAAUAAGGGGCUGCAAACUUCGUGCCAGCAGCCGCGGUAAUACGAAGGCCCCGAGCGUUAUCCGGAUUUAUUGGGCGUAAAGCGCGUGUAGGAGGUUUGACGCGUCUUUUGUUAAAUCUCAAGGCUUAACCUUGGGGCUGCAGGAGAUACGGUCAGACUAGAGGACGUUAGAGGCUAAUAGAACGCACGGUGUAGGGGUGAAAUCCGUUGAUAUCGUGCGGAAUACCAAAGGCGAAGGCAGCAAACUGGCGCAUU
rnacentral:rRNA from 1 species